CCCCUGUCCACAUUCCCCAAAGCUCCUUGUGAGAUUCCUGAGCAGCACCAAUGCCCUGACUGUCACUGUGUGUUCUCCUAGCUCCUGUUGACCAUCCAGAGGAGUGUCCAUUUGACAGUGAGGAGGAGGAGGUGGCCUCUGACAUGGAGAAGCCUGCCGCCCAGUAUCACCACCGUCCUGUUGAGGUCCUGCAGGACCUGGUUUUGGAGGACGUGGAGGAGGAGGAGCUGCCCUCUGUCCUGGAGAAGCCUGCAGCCCAGUAUAACCACCGUCCUGUUGAGGUCCUGCAGGACCUGGUUUUGGAGGACGUGGAGGAGGAGGAGCUGCCCUCUGUCCUGGAGAAGCCUGAGGCCCAGUAUCACCACCGUACGUAUUCUUUUUCUUUUAAAGAGUUACUGAGAUGUAGUUGACAUGCAAACCAAUUCACCCAUUUAAAGUAGGUGAUUCAGUGUUUUUACUAUAUUUACAGGGCUGUGCAGCCAUUGUUACAGUCUAAUUUUAGAAGCUCUUGAUUCCCCCUCAAAAAACCCCAUUAGUAGUGACUCCUCUGUUUCCCCAACCCCCACACCCCUCGUUCUAGGCAGCUCUAAUCUCCUUGCUGUUUCUAUAGUACACUGCCUUUCUGUAUUCACCGGUUCUUCAAAUGACUGUUUCACACUGAUGAGGUUGCCCUAGCCAGGAAGCCAAGGCUCUUUCAUUUCUUUCUGCCCCUCUCCUUUGCCUUCCUUCAGCACCAAGGAGAAUGGUCCAGCAGCAGCUCAGUCCAUGCUUGUCAACUGCGCAGCUCCACACCAGCCCCCGUCCACAUUCCCCAAAGCUUUUUGUGAGAUUUCUCAGCAGCACCAAUGCCCUGACUGUCACUCUAUGUUCUCCUAGCUCCUGUUGACCAUCCAGAGGAGUGUCCAUUUGGGAGUGAGGAGGAGGAGGUGGCCUCUGACACGGUAACAUACAUUUCUUUGUCUGGAACUGUUUUGUGUGUGGGGCUUCUAGACUAUGAAAUGAAUAUGAUUUUUGACUGCCAUCAUAAAUCAGGCCUCAGGGGGU
ensembl:lincRNA